rnacentral:tRNA from 1 species
GGACCUGUAGCCUAGCCUGGAUAGGGCGCCAGCCUUCUAAGCUGGAUACCGGGGGUUCAAAUCCCCUCAGGUCCG